rnacentral:rRNA from 1 species
CCUACGGGAGGCAGCAGUAGGGAAUAUUGCUCAAUGGGGGAAACCCUGAAGCAGCAACGCCGCGUGGAGGAUGAAGGUUUUCGGAUUGUAAUCUCCUUUUGUUAGAGAAGAUAAUGACGGUAUCUAACGAAUAAGCACCGGCUAACUCCGUGCCAGCAGCCGCGGUAAUACGGAGGGUGCAAGCGUUACUCGGAAUCACUGGGCGUAAAGAGCGCGUAGGCGGGUUAGCAAGUCAGAUGUGAAAUGCUAUGGGUUAACCAUAGAACUGCAUUUGAAACUGUUAUUCUAGAGUAUGGGAGGGGUAAGUGGAAUUCUUGGUGUAGGGGUAAAAUCCGUAGAGAUCAAGAGGAAUACUCAUUGCGAAGGCGACCUGCUAGAACAUAACUGACGCUGAUGCGCGAAAGCGUGGGGAGCAAACAGGAUUAGAUACCCGGGUAGUC